UGGGGAAUGAUUGCACAAUGGGCGAAAGCCUGAUGCAGCAACGCCGCGUGAGUGAUGAAGGCCUUCGGGUUGUAAAGCUCUGUCUUUUGGGACGAUAAUGACGGUACCAAAGGAGGAAGCCACGGCUAACUACGUGCCAGCAGCCGCGGUAAUACGUAGGUGGCAAGCGUUUGUCCGGAUUUUACUGGGCGUAAAGGAUGCGUAGGCGGAUUUUUAAGUGAGAUGUGAAAACCCUAGCUUAACUUGGGACUGCAUUCAUACUGGAAAUCUAGAGUGCGGGAGAGGAGAAUGGAAUUCCUAGUGUAGCGGUGAAAUGCGUAGAGAUUAGGAAGAACACCAGUGGCGAAGGCGAUUCUCUGGACCGUAACUGACGCUGAGGCAUGAAAGCGUGGGUAGCAAACAGGAUUAGAUACCCUGGUAGUCCACGCCGUAAACGAUGAGUACUAGGUGUAGGAGGUAUCGACCCCUUCUGUGCCGCAGUUAACACAAUAAGUACU
rnacentral:rRNA from 1 species